GCCCAGGUUGUUUAACCCUGUCAGUCCUGAGAGCCCAGGUUGUUUAACCCUGUCAGUCCUGAGAGCCCAGGUUGUUUAACCCUGUCAGUCCUGAGAGCCCAGGUUGUUUAACCCUGUCAGUCCUGAGAGCCCAGGUUGUUUAACCCUGUCAGUCCUGAGAGCCCAGGUUGUUUAACCCUGUCAGUCCUGAGAGCCCAGGUUGUUUAACCCUGUCAGUCCUGAGAGCCCAGGUUGUUUAACCCUGUCAGUCCUGAGAGCCCAGGUUGUUUAACCCUGUCAGUCCUGAGAGCCCAGGUUGUUUAACCCUGUCAGUCCUGAGAGCCCAGGUUGUUUAACCCUGUCAGUCCUGAGAGCCCAGGUUGUUUAACCCUGUCAGUCCUGAGAGCCCAGGUUGUUUAACCCUGUCAGUCCUGAGAGCCCAGGUUGUUUAACCCUGUCAGUCCUGAGAGCCCAGGUUGUUUAACCCUGUCAGUCCUGAGAGCCCAGGUUGUUUAACCCUGUCAGUCCUGAGAGCCCAGGUUGUUUAACCCUGUCAGUCCUGAGAGCCCAGGUUGUUUAACCCUGUCAGUCCUGAGAGCCCAGGUUGUUUAACCCUGUCAGUCCUGAGAGCCCAGGUUGUUUAACCCAGUCAGUCCUGAGAGCCCAGGUUGUUUAACCCUGUCAGUCCUGAGAGCCCAGGUUGUUUAACCCUGUCAGUCCUGAGAGCCCAGGUUGUUUAACCCUGUCAGUCCUGAGAGCCCAGGUUGUUUAACCCAGUCAGUCCUGAGAGCCCAGGUUGUUUAACCCUGUCAGUCCUGAGAGCCCAGGUUGUUUAACCCUGUCAGUCCUGAGAGCCCAGGUUGUUUAACCCUGUCAGUCCUGAGAGCCCAGGUUGUUUAACCCUGUCAGUCCUGAGAGCCCAGGUUGUUUAACCCUGUCAGUCCUGAGAGCCCAGGUUGUUUAACCCUGUCAGUCCUGAGAGCCCAGGUUGUUUAACCCUGUCAGUCCUGAGAGCCCAGGUUGUUUAACCCUGUCAGUCCUGAGAGCCCAGGUUGUUUAACCCUGUCAGUCCUGAGAGCCCAGGUUGUUUAACCCUGUCAGUCCUGAGAGCCCAGGUUGUUUAACCCUGUCAGUCCUGAGAGCCCAGGUUGUUUAACCCUGUCAGUCCUGAGAGCCCAGGUUGUUUAACCCUGUCAGUCCUGAGAGCCCAGGUUGUUUAACCCUGUCAGU